UACGGGGGGAGCAAGCGUUGUUCGGAUUUACUGGGCGUAAAGGGCGGGUAGGCGGCCACCGCAAGUCAGUUGUGAAAUCGCUGGGCUUAACCCAGAAAGGUCAACUGAUACUGCGGGGCUAGAGUGCAGAAGGGGCAACUGGAAUUCUCGGUGUAGCGGUGAAAUGCGUAGAUAUCAAGAGGAACACCUGAGGUGAAGACGGGUUGCUGGGCCGACACUGACGCUGACAGCGCGAAAGCCAGGGGAGCAAACGGG
rnacentral:rRNA from 1 species